rnacentral:lncRNA from 1 species
UGGAAAAAUUGAAGAAUUUUUUAGUUUCUGUUCUCUUAACUUAAGUUUGUCUCAACUAAAUUUAAUGAAAUGUGUAUAUAAUGCUUAUAACCUCUAAACUCAGUUUGAGUUCAAUUUUUGGCAGCUUUACUUUUACAAUUCUUGAGUUAUGUCCCUUUAUAACGUUAUAUGCUAGCAGGGGCAUCAUCUGUGUCCCUUUGGACACAUUUCCCAUUUUUUUUUUUAGAAGUUACUAUU